UACGUAGGGUGCGAGCGUUACUCGGAAUUACUGGGCGUAAAGCGUGCGCAGGCGGUUUUGUUAGCCAGAUGUGAAAGCCCCGGGCUUAACCUGGGAAUGGCAUUUGGGACUGCAAGGCUUGAGUGCGGCAGAGGAGACUGGAAUUCCUGGUGUAGCAGUGAAAUGCGUAGAUAUCAGGAGGAAUACCGAUGGCGAAGGCAGGUCUCUGGGCUGACACUGACGCUCAUGCACGAAAGCGUGGGGAGCAAACAGG
rnacentral:rRNA from 1 species